rnacentral:rRNA from 1 species
AUUGAACGCUGGCGGCAGGCCUAACACAUGCAAGUCGAGCGGAUGAAGGGAGCUUGCUCCUGGAUUCAGCGGCGGACGGGUGAGUAAUGCCUAGGAAUCUGCCUGGUAGUGGGGGAUAACGUCCGGAAACGGGCGCUAAUACUGCAUACGUCCUGAGGGAGAAAGUGGGGGAUCUUCGGACCUCACGCUAUCAGAUGAGCCUAGGUCGGAUUAGCUAGUUGGUGGGGUAAAGGCCUACCAAGGCGACGAUCCGUAACUGGUCUGAGAGGAUGAUCAGUCACACUGGAACUGAGACACGGUCCAGACUCCUACGGGAGGCAGCAGUGGGGAAUACUGGACAAAGGGCGAAAGCCUGAUCCAGCCAUGCCGCGUGUGUGAAGAAGGUCUUCGGAUUGUAAAGCACUUUAAGUUGGGAGGAAGGGCAGUAAGUUAAUACCUUGCUGUUUUGACGUUACCAACAGAAUAAGCACCGGCUAACUUCGUG